rnacentral:lncRNA from 1 species
CGAGUAUUAAUAGGCUGCUAAUGAGUUAUGGGUAAAUUAUUUACAUGUGCUUGUUAAUAUAUUAAGCAAUAUUCUCUCCGACCAUGUUAAAUAGAGUUUAGCGUGAUUAGUGGUUUGUUGGGUGAGUGGCUGAGUUGAUAAAAAGGUGUUGAGAUAUGUUGAUCUCUGAUGGAUGUUGUUAAUUGUGUCAGUCCGACCUUUGCCAUGUCAGGUGCGCUUGCUUGGCAGGUCAAAAAACCUAAUAAAAAAGAGAAUAUUUGUGGGUUUUGAAGGGGGAGAUGGCACGGGAUUAUUUAUUUAUUUAUUUUGCCCGGCUCUCCCCCUUUUGUGUUGGACAGGCUCCUUGUUUCCCUAUCUUUCUACCUCCUUUCUUGUUUCUGCUGGACGGAUACCAAAAACAUUGCACAUCAUACCCGGAAACCAAUGUACCAGAAGGAAUCUGCACUCUAACAACAUCAAUCAUCACCCAAAGGUAUAUUCUGCUAUAGACAAGUUAAUUUCCUAAUAUAUUAUUACUCGCUGUCUGCAUUAAGUUAUCUCCCAGCUUUUGUGGAACAGUUAACUAUUUCAUACAUAAUAUCAUAACACGAACUGAUCACACUACCCUCAACUGCACAACGGCUCUUCAUAUUCAUUUACAAUAUUAUUUAUAGACUUUAAGAAAGGGUUCAUUUAAGUUUACACCUGGUGUAGAUAAAUUGCAGCUCUGACAUCUUAAAGCACAUGUUCACUGGAAUAACGAGAUGUUUGAUUUGCAGCUACCUUCACCAUGGCAUUCUAGCCAUUGCUCACAAUAUCUACAAUCUGACUAAUCUAGCCACACAUGCACCUUUUUUUUGGGUUUUGGUUUGGAAUAACGAGAUGUUUGAUUUGCAGCUACCUUCACCAUGGCAUUCUAGCCAUUGCUCACAAUAUCUACAAUCUGACUAAUCUAGCCAUACAUGCACCUUUUUUUUGGGUUUUGGUUCAUUGCCUGCAAUCUAAUAAUAAUGAAAAAGUCCCAACAAUUUAUGACACUCAACUGCCCCAUUCAAGUAUGGAUAAAACCUGAUAUGCCGUGUGGAAAGACAAGCUAGAUGAGAUCUGAUAUAAGCCCGUUGCAAAGACAAGAUAUAAUAUUGUUUAAGUUUUGAUUCUGAGUAUCUCGACCUCUUACUUUCUAUUUUUUUGAUCACUUUUUAGAUGUUAAUAUUUAUUUACAUUUCAUUUCAGUAUGAUUUUGUUAUGCAAUUAUUGUAGCCAAAAUUUCUCCUUCAGUGUCUCGUCUGUGUUGUAGCACACUGUAUUUGUCAGGGAGGAGUUAUGGAUGGUUGAUUGUUCUCGUGAUAAUCUUUUGUAACUACGGUAUUAUUACAGCUUGUAUAGAGUCUUGAUCAAAUCUAGUCAUCCAAAAUGUAUUUUGGAAGACCUAUUGCUCCUGUAAGCUCUCUUAGCUAAUGCCUUUGCCUGCGACUGUAAUAUUGGAGGGCUUCCAAGGAUUUCCGCAUCAUGAUCCGCCACGCAAAUCCGUGUUGGAAUUUAUCAUGUUCAGCCACUCUGC